rnacentral:lncRNA from 1 species
GGAUCACCUGAGGUCGAGAGUUCCAGACCAGCCUGACCAACAUGAAGAAAUCCCGUCUCUACUAAAAAUACAAAAUUAGCCGGGCGUGAUGGCGCAUGCCUGUAAUCCCAGCUACUUGGAGGCUGAGGCAGGAGAAUUGCUUGAACCUGGGAAGCGGAGGUUGUGGUGAGCCGAGAUCAUGCCAUUGCACUCCAGCCUGGACAACAAGAGUGAAACUCCAUCUCAAAAAAAAAAAAAGAAAAGAAAAGAAAAGAAAGAAAACUCAGCUAGGAAUUAGAAACAUCAUUUGUCCUCUUGGCCUGUUCAGCUGGUGACUGUAGAUUUGAUGAAAAGGAAACUUGGGACUCCGGAGGACCAAGAUGGAGCGAGACGGUCAAUACUGAUGGACUUGCAGCUAGCACCAUGGCAGCCCUGCCUGGUCUAAGGAAGCUGGCAGGAGGCGAUGGUACCUGGCGGGGGCAGACUGCCCACCUCCCCACUCCUUCAGAGGACUGUUUCCUGCCCUUCACACCAUCAUCAUGUUGGGCCCUGCAUGUAUGUUCCUGCACUUGGAGCGAGCCCAGGGACACAGGGCAGACACUGGGCUCACAGAUGUUGCUGCAGCUGAGCCAGAAAACAUUCCAGGCAGGAAAAGCAGGUGCACACAUUCACACAGGCCUCUGGUCACUCGACCAGCCAGAAUGAGACGGACUCCUUGACCUGGGAAGUCAAGUCCCAGUGGGAAGGGCUGGAAAUCACACGUGGUCAACUUCUUGGCUCUCUCUGCUCCCCAAACCCUGGCCCUAGGCUUGCUUUAUCAUCACAUCCCAAGGCCAGAGGGCUGCUGCUGUCCCCAUCUUGGCCCUGCUAGAAGAGGGAUAGGGGUGGCUGGCAUGAUGGGUGAGGGGAACAUGAGAAUAUGCAGAGGCCUUGGAGGAAGAGGACUGGCAGUUAUGACAGGAAGGCUCUCUAUACCUGGCUCCCCAGUGUUCUGCCCCUGGCACUGAGCAUGAGGAGCCAGGCUUUGGGGAGACUUUGCAAUCACCCCCCCAACCUGGUCCAUUUUCCACAGGUAGCUUUCUUGAACUCACCUUGACCCCUCCUCAGCCAGCAGCCCCCACCUCCAGGGGCAAAGGAGCUGAAAGACAGUCCUGAACUGGGGGGAGCUGGGAUCACAUCAGCCAGGCCCUGUCCCUCACAGGAAGUGAGAUGAGGUGAUACCAUGGAUGGUGACUAAGGCCCCAAAGUCCCUGCCUCUCUGCCUCCCCAGAAACCUCACAGCCAGGCCAGCCCCCAGAGCAGAGCCUGUGUAAACAUGCCCAGGAGGGGAGGAGGGGUUGCUACAUAUGAGAAACAGUUAAAAAUAAAUUUAAAAAGCACCACUAUGUCCUGUGCUGGUCUCCACAGCCCCGAAGUCUCAGCUCAGGAAGGGUGAGUGCUGGGGGAUUAUCAGCUGGGGCUCGGCUCCCUCCCUUGCAGACAGCAAGCAGGUAAGGGCUUCAUUUUGCUGUUUUCUCCAUGGAGGGCUCUGGGAAAGGAUCCUGCAAGUUGGAACCUCCUAAGACUCCAGAACCAGGAGCGGCUCCCUCUCAUAUCUACUCCCCUCAAACCCUGUCAUUCCCGGGAAGCUCCCAGAGGCAGCUGAGGCCACGCCCCUGCUCCUGAGCGGCAGCAUCCAGACCCGGAAAGGACCUAGUUUCAGCCUGGCACCUCCCAAGGCACCAUCCGUCUCCCUGGCAGGCCAAGAGCUAC